rnacentral:rRNA from 1 species
GCAGCCGCGGUAAUACGGAGGAUGCGAGCGUUAUCCGGAUUUAUUGGGUUUAAAGGGAGCGUAGACGGGAUGUUAAGUCAGUUGUGAAAUGCUGUGGCUCAACCAUAGCACUGCAGUUGAUACUGGCGUUCUUGAGUGCGUAUGAGGUACGUGGAAUUCGUGGUGUAGCGGUGAAAUGCUUAGAUAUCACGAAGAACUCCUAUUGCGAAGGCAGCGUACCAAUCCGUAACUGACGUUGAGGCUCGAAAGUGUGGGUAUCAAACAGGAUUAGAUACCCC